AGAGUUUGAUCAUGGCUCAGAAUCAACGCUGGCGGCGUGCCUAACACAUGCAAGUCGAACGCGAAAGUCCCGCAAGGGAUCGGUAGAGUGGCAAACGGGUGAGUAACACGUGGGUGACCUGCCUUCGAGUGGGGGAUAACGUCCCGAAAGGGACGCUAAUACCGCAUGACAUCCUGCCUUUGAACAGGCGGAGAUCAAAGCUGGGGAUCGCAAGACCUAGCGCUUGAAGAGGGGCCCGCGUCCGAUUAGCUAGUUGGUGAGGUAACGGCUCACCAAGGCAACGAUCGGUAGCCGGCCUGAGAGGGCGGACGGCCACACUGGGACUGAGACACGGCCCAGACUCCUACGGGAGGCAGCAGUGGGGAAUUGUUCGCAAUGGGCGCAAGCCUGACGACGCAACGCCGCGUGGAGGAUGAAGAUCUUCGGGUCGUAAACUCCUUUCGAUCGAGACGAACGGCUUCCGGGCUAAUCACCGGGAGAGUGACGGUACCGAGAGAAGAAGCCCCGGCUAACUCCGUGCCAGCAGCCGCGGUAAUACGGGGGGGGCAAGCGUUGUUCGGAAUUACUGGGCGUAAAGGGCUCGUAGGCGGCCAACUAAGUCAGACGUGAAAUCCCUCGGCUUAACCGGGGAACUGCGUCUGAUACUGGAUGGCUUGAGGUUGGGAGAGGGAUGCGGAAUUCCAGGUGUAGCGGUGAAAUGCGUAGAUAUCUGGAGGAACACCGGUGGCGAAGGCGGCAUCCUGGACCAAAUCUGACGCUGAGGAGCGAAAGCCAGGGGAGCAAACGGGAUUAGAUACCCUAGUAGUCC
rnacentral:rRNA from 1 species